UAGAACUUAGAGCUAAUACGAAAAGUCGGGGAUCAUAAAAAACGACCGAAAGAACUUAGAGCUAAUACGAAAAGUCGGGGAUCAUAAAAAACGACCGAAAGAACUUAGAGCUAAUACGAAAAGUCGGGGAUCAUAAAAAACGACCGAAGGAACUUAGAGCUAAUACGCAAAGUCGGGGAUCAUAAAAAACGACCGAAAGAACUUAGAGCUAAUACGAAAAGUCGGGGAUCAUAAAAAACGACCGAAAGAACUUAGAGCUAAUACGCAAAGUCGGGGAUCAUAAAAAACGACCGAAAGAAUUUAGAGCUAAUACACAAAGUCGGAGAUCAUAAAAAACGACCGAAAGAAUUAAGAGCUAAUACGCAAAGUCGGGGAUCAUAAAAACGACCAAAAGAAUUUAGAGGUAAUACGCAAAGUCGGGGAUCAAAAAAACGAUCGAAAGAAUUUCGAGCUAAUACGAAAAGUCGGGGAUCAUAAAAAACGAUCGAAAGAAUUUCGAGCUAAUACGAAAAGUCGGGGAUCAUAAAAAACGACCGAAAGAACUUAGAGCUAAUACGCAAAGUCGGGGAUCAUAAAAACGACCGAAAGAAUUUAGAGCUAAUACGCAAAGUCGGGGAUCAUAAAAAACGACCGAAAGAACUUAGAGCUAAUACGCAAAGUCGGGGAUCAUAAAAACGACCGAAAGAACUUAGAGCUUAUUCGCAAAGUCGGGGAUCAUAAAAACAAACGAAAGAACGUAGAGCUAAUACGCAAAGUCGGG
rnacentral:lncRNA from 1 species